rnacentral:rRNA from 1 species
UACGUAGGAGGCGAGCGUUGUCCGGAGUUACUGGGCGUAAAGGGUGCGUAGGCGGACUUAUAAGUCAGUGGUGAAAUCUCGUUGCUUAACAACGAACGUGCCAUUGAUACUGUAGGUCUUGAGUACAGAUGCCGUUGGCGGAAUGUGUCAUGUAGCGGUGAAAUGCAUAGAUAUGACACAGAACACCGAUUGCGAAGGCAGCUGACGAAACUGUAACUGACGCUGAGGCACGAAAGCGUGGGGAUCAAACAGG